rnacentral:rRNA from 1 species
UACGUGGGGGGCGAGCGUUGUUCGGAAUUAUUGGGCGUAAAGAGCUCGUAGGCGGCCGUUCGCGUCGGAUGUGAAAGCUCAGGGCUCAACUCUGAGAUGCCAUUCGAUACGGGACGGCUAGAGGUAGGUAGGGGAGAGUGGAAUUCCUGGUGUAGCGGUGAAAUGCGCAGAUAUCAGGAGGAACACCGGUGGCGAAGGCGGCUCUCUGGGCCUUACCUGACGCUGAGGAGCGAAAGCUGGGGGAGCGAACAGG